GCCUACGGGAGGCAGCAGUGAGGAAUAUUGGUCAAUGGGCUUACGCCUGAACCAGCCAAGUCGCGUGAGGGAAGACUGCCCUAUGGGUUGUAAACCUCUUUUGUCAGGGAGCAACGCCGGCUACGUGUAGCCGGACUGAGAGUACCUGAAGAAAAAGCAUCGGCUAACUCCGUGCCAGCAGCCGCGGUAAUACGGAGGAUGCGAGCGUUAUCCGGAUUUAUUGGGUUUAAAGGGUGCGUAGGCGGUUUUUUAAGUUAGUGGUUAAACGUCGGGGCUUCACCUUGAUUUGCCAUUAAUACUGUAAG
rnacentral:rRNA from 1 species